rnacentral:tRNA from 1 species
GGCCCCGUGGAGCAGCGGAGUGCUCGCGUCCCUGUCAAGGACGAGGUCGCCGGUUCAAAUCCGGUCGGGGCCGCCA